rnacentral:rRNA from 1 species
GCGGGAAACCUCACCAGGCCCGGACACCAGAAGGAUUGACAGAUUGACAGCUCUUUCUUGAUUUGGUGGGUGGUGGUGCAUGGCCGUUCUUAGUUGGUGGAGUGAUUUGUCUGGUUAAUUCCGAUAACGAACGAGACCCCGGCCUGCUUACUAGACCGCGGAUCCUUUCGUCCGUGCUGUCUUCUUAGAGGGACAACUGGCUAUACGAAAUAGCUACAUGAAAUGGGGCAAUAA